ACUGGCAUGGGUGGCUGGGUUCCCCAUCGCCCUUGGUCUCGGGGUCGCUGUCGGCACUGAGGCUGCAGCUAUCAUGGUGAACUUACUUCAGAUUGUGCGGGACCACUGGGUUCAUGUUCUUGCCCCUGUGGGAUUUGUCAUUGGAUGUUAUUUAGACAGAAAGAGUGAUGAAUGGCUAACUACCUUCCGGAACAAGAGUACGUUAUUUAAAAGGGAAUUGCGACCCAGUGAGAAGUUACCUGGAAGUAAAGACUGGCUGAAUUACAGAAUGUUCACAUCUUAAAGUUCUGAGAGAAAUAAAAACGUUCAGAACCAAAAAAAAAAAAAA